GCCGCAGACAAACAUGUGGCCCCGCUCGAGGCACAGCACGCGGUGCACCUCAGCAGCCAGCUCCGUCCUCAGGAUGUCCUGCACGUUUUCCACCGAGAGGACCGUAGCCUGGAACAUCUUCCGCCUGUGCACGUGGAUCAGGCCUACGGGGCGGGGGGCAAAUGAGAUGGACUGAGCCAGGGACCGGGGCCUGGCCCCUGAUCAGGUCCACACACCAAGACUGGCCUCAUUCUUUGGAAUGAUUACAUAGUAUCCCAUCACUUGUGGGUACCAUCGUGUGCCCGACUCCCCUGACUGAGGACAUCUGGAUGGUCUCUGGACAGUGCUCAACCGCUCAUAUACACGUGUUUCCUCCUUUGCAUAUUUCACAGGGUAGCUCUUAGGAGCAGAAUUGCUGAGUCGUAAGAUUUAAAAGCUUGAUGGGACAGUCAAGCCGUCCAGCAUCGGGAGGACGAUUUCCUCUUUCCUCCCUCCUCUCGACACUGGCUGUGACCAGCCGCUAACGCUUUAGCCGAUGUGAUAGGGAGAAACCAGCUCUCGAUCUCCCUGCAUUGCCGUGAUCGCUAGUGACACUGACAUCGUCUAAAAGGCUGAGCCGUGUCACGUGCUGCCCGGGAAACAGCUUAGAACUACAUGCAACAACCUUUACACAGGAAAAAACAACACAUGGCAAGGCCAUGACAUCCCUGAGUUAACUGCAGGUGCAUUUAGGUGCUGGGUUUAUGGGUUCACUGUAACUAGCAUGUACUACCUUUAUUUUAUUUUCUGAACAUUUUCUUGAAGUGUAAUGUACCUACAGAAAAGCCACAUGUUAUAAACGCACAGUUGGUUUU